UGGAAAUGGGGUAUGUGUCAAAGGGACAACAACCCGACCAUAGAACAGACAACAGCAGAAGGUCACCAACAGGUCUUCAAUGCAGCGAAAAAUUCCCACACUCGGAGGCGUGCUUCAGCUGGCCCUAAACAAAUAUAUAUACUAGUUCAGUGAUAAUGAACGCCAUACUAAACUCCAAAUUGUACACAAGAAAUUAAAAUUAAAAAUAGUACAAGACUAACAAAGGC
rnacentral:lncRNA from 1 species